rnacentral:tRNA from 1 species
UCUAAUUUGGCAGAUAAGUGCGGUGGAUUUAAGCUCCACAUAUGAAGUGUAACAAUAUAGCUUCUUUUAGAA